GAAGACAUCCCAUUUCCAACCCCAGAUUAUUUCAAAGCUGGUGGGAUCUCACUCUGUCACCCAGGCUUGAGUGCAGUGGUGCAAUCUCGGCUCACUGCAACCUCCACCUCCUAGGCUCAAGUGAUCCUCCUACCUCAGCUUCCCAAGCAGCUGGGACUGAGGUGUGCACCCCCACACUUGGCUAAUUGAAACACUUCCUUCUAUCACACAAAAAGCAACAAGUACCAAAC
rnacentral:lncRNA from 1 species